GCCGAACAGGGAGGAAUGCAGGUGGGGGCUGGUGGUUCUUGGCUGAAAGACCAGCGGCGGCUGGCCGCAGCCGGUGGCUGAUGGCAAUGGGGCAGGGGACGACUGACGACAAGGAUUGCCAACAGGAAAAACAUGGGAAAGAUCCAAAAAUAGGGUAUCCGAUCCCUUUUCUUUGAUUUUUCCGGUCAUCGGCCGAUCACCGACGGCCAUAACCUUCGGAGAAAGAAGUUGGUAGGUGGGGGUCAUGAUCUAGGGGUGUGGCACCAUGGGCGGCCGCGUCGGUGGCCAGAAACGAAGAAGAGAGGGCUCGACCGAACAGAAAAAAAAGCAAGGCAUUCCUUUUUGUGGGUUU
rnacentral:lncRNA from 1 species